GCGGCGCGGUGGCGCACGCCUGUAGUCCAGCUACUCGGGAGGCUGAGGCUGGAGGAUCGCUUGAGCCCAGGAGUUCUGGGCUGUAGUGCGCUAUGCCAAUCGGGUGUCCGCACUAAGUUCGGCAUCAAUAUGGUGACCUCCCGGGAGCGGGGGGCCACCAGGUUGCCUAAGGAGGGGUGAACCGGCCCAGGUCGGAGACGGAGCAGGUCAAAGCUCCCGUGCUGAUCAGUAGUGGGAUCGCGCCUGUGACUAGUCACUGCACUCCAGCCUGGGCAACAUAGCGAGACCCCGUCUCUA
rnacentral:SRP_RNA from 1 species